rnacentral:misc_RNA from 1 species
GAACAUGUCAAAAGCUUCUGGUUCACACCAUCAUGUGAGCAGAAUAUACAUAACGCGCUUGCAUUGGUCUGGUUAGAUUUCUCACAAAUGUUAAUUGAUCUCUCAAGGGCGUUUUUAGUCUGUAAAAGAGCAGCAAGCAGGUUAGCAUCUCUAAUUGAAGGGUGUAAGACCUCCUCACACCGGCGCUUCCACUCAUCUGUCUUAUGAACCUCAGAGAAAACCAUGUCCAAUUCGGAGCAACUGAAAGCAUCAUUAUUCCCUUUUUCCUUAAGCUGCAGCAACAGAUCCCAUGAUCGAUCCCU